CAACUACUCCCUCUGUCCCAAACUUCUUGUCUUAGAUUUGUCUAGAUACGGAUGUAUCUAAUACUAAAAUGUGACUUGAUACAUCCGUGUCUAGACAAAUCUAAGACAAGAAUUAUCUAAUACUAAAAUGUGACUUGAUACAUCCGUAUCUAGACAAAUCUAUGACAAGAAUUUUGGGACGGACGGAGUACUUU
rnacentral:pre_miRNA from 1 species